CUCAACCUCGGAAUUGCAGUCGAUACUGCUGUGACUCGAGUCCGGUAGAGGAGAAUGGAAUUCUCGGUGUAGCGGUGAAAUGCGCAGAUAUCGAGAGGAACACCAGUAGCGAAGGCGGUUCUCUGGGCCGGCACUGACGCUGAGGAGCGUAAGCGUGGGGAGCAAACAGGAUUAGAUACCCUGGUAGUCCACGCUGUAAACGUUGGAUACUAGGUGUGGCGGUCUUACCAACGACUGCCGUGCCGAAGCUAACGCAUUAAGUAUCCCGCCUGGGGAGUACGGCCGCAAGGCUAAAACUCAAAGGAAUUGACGGGUCCCCGCACAAGCGGCGGAGCAUGCGGCUUAAUUCGAUGCAACCCGAAGAACCUUACCUGGGUUUGACAUCACGGGAAAAGCUGUAGAAAUACAGUGUCCAUUAGGGCCC
rnacentral:rRNA from 1 species